AUCCAGCGAUGGCGCCAUGGAGUCCAAGCUAAGCGGGAAUGUGGGAGAUCCAUCUGGUCUAGCUCUGAAGAUGUAUCGACAGCAGAUGGCGCAAUAUUACUUCUGUGCAGUUUUACAGGGCGAACGCGGAUUAUGCUGAACCCUGACAAGCAAGCAGUGCACGUUGCAUUCCAGUGCUACGCAGUCGCUUAAGGGCAAGCAAAGUUCAGCAGGCGUUUGAAGGAACAUGUGGGCCCCCUGCCCGGGAGCCUCGUUAGCGCAGGCCAAGAAAAGAAUUCCUGAAGAAUGCCACACAUCAGGCUCUGUCGAUAAGCUGCCGUUCGGUGAUAAUGGUGGAAUUCUUUUUGGCUGAAAAGUUAGUGUGGGUGCCAUGGAAAUGUGC